ensembl:antisense Gm43729 predicted gene 43729
CUAGAUUAAUAAUUUUUAAAAGUACAGUAAAUAAUCUCUCCCUUACUGAAAAGUUUGUCUCAGUGAUAGAUUUAUAAUAGUGGUUCUCCACCAUGACCCCACUGGCAAACUUCUAUCUCCACCAGUAUCUACCAUAACAGUAGCAACUUACAUUAUAAAGUAGCAACGAAAACAACUUUAAGGUUUGGGUCACACAACAUGAGGAGCUAGAGUAAAGGUCACAGCAUUAGGAAGGUGGAGAAGCACUGCUUUACAAUGACAGAGAAGCAGAAUACAGACACACUGUGAAGAGCCUUUACACGUUCACUUAGGAGCAUGGAUUUGAUCUGAAGGCCAUGACUGUCAUUAGUAUGUGCAUGAUAUCAUAACUCACAACCAAGUUUCUGUAAUAGUUAAUACUAAAAAAAGAUUUAGUGGCUGAAGAGAUGGCUGCAAUAACUGCUUGGUACUUACCUUAUUGCCUAAGUGAGUGAUCUUCAGAACUCCAUCUUGCCACACU